rnacentral:rRNA from 1 species
UACAGAGGGUGCAAGCGUUAAUCGGAAUUACUGGGCGUAAAGCGUGCGUAGACGGUUACAUAAGUCGGGUGUGAAAGCCCCGGGCUCAACCUGGGAAUUGCAUUCGAGACUGCGUAGCUAGGGUGCGGAAGAGGGAAGCGGAAUUUCCGGUGUAGCGGUGAAAUGCGUAGAUAUCGGAAGGAACACCAGUGGCGAAAGCGGCUCCCUGGUCCAGCACCGACGUUCAGGCACGAAAGCGUGGGGAGCAAACAGG